GACGAACGCUGGCGGCGUGCUUAACACAUGCAAGUCGAACGGUAAAGCCCUUCGGGGUACACGAGUGGCGAACGGGUGAGUAACACGUGGGUGAUCUGCCCUGCACUUCGGGAUAAGCCUGGGAAACUGGGUCUAAUACCGGAUAGGACCACUGCCUGCAUGGGUGGGGGUGGAAAGCUUUUGCGGUGUGGGAUGGGCCCGCGGCCUAUCAGCUUGUUGGUGGGGUGAUGGCCUACCAAGGCGACGACGGGUAGCCGGCCUGAGAGGGUGACCGGCCACACUGGGACUGAGAUACGGCCCAGACUCCUACGGGAGGCAGCAGUGGGGAAUAUUGCACAAUGGGCGCAAGCCUGAUGCAGCGACGCCGCGCGAGGGAUGACGGCCUUCGGGUUGUAAACCUCUUUCAGCACCGACGAAGCGCAAGUGACGGUAGGUGCAGAAGAAGGACCGGCCAACUACGUGCCAGCCGCCGCCGUAA
rnacentral:rRNA from 1 species